UCUCAUUUAAACGACAUAAACCCUACCUCUUUUAUGUCCUUACAGUUCUAAAACUGUGCCAGUGUGGAUAAACUUCUUUAAAAACUA
rnacentral:sRNA from 1 species